GAGAUCGGGGUGCCGAACUGCCGCGGGUGCACAGGGAGAGCAUGGGGUGCCCUGGGCUCUCCUAGCGGGAGAGAAAAGCCACCCACCUGGCGCUGAAUGUGCCUCUCGACCUUUUCUAUCAUGUGCUCCGCCGCUCUCUGCCUCUGACUUUGUCGCUUGCGCGUUGUGCCUGUUUUUUAAAGGUGGCGCGUUAGCGGAUGAUGGAGACAGCUCGCUCCGAAGAAGGCAUGGUCACUCUAGUCCCCGCGUCUCCACGGUGGGGUCAGAAGCGGCGUAAUAGCCCGCUUGGCGGCAAUCGAGUGGAAAAGUCACAAAACCCUUUUCAACUAAAGCACAGUGGGGGAAGUGAACACGUGGCGCCCGAGUCCAAGUUUUUAAAGUGGGGCGGGGGUCGGCGGGCUCUGGCUGCAGUCGGAAGCGCGGAGCUCUGGGCGUGCGCUCGGCUCCAGCCCCGGCCCCAGGCGGCGCUGCAGACUC
rnacentral:lncRNA from 1 species